rnacentral:lncRNA from 1 species
AGAAAGAGGGACUCAUAUGUACGAAGGUUUAGGGGUGAGAGAUAGCUUGGCAUGGCCAAGGAACCAAAGGAUUGGUGUAAGGGAGGAGGCUAAAGGAACGUGCUGAGGUGGAAGAGACAGGUGGGGACCAUGCCACAUGUGGAGGCUCCAGUAAAUAUCUCUGGUUUUAUUUGAGACACAUUGAGAAACCAUUGACAGUUUUCAUGUAGGGAGUGACAUGAUCACAUUGGAUGCUAUUUGGAGAAUAGAUAGAAGGAAUCAAGAUUAGAAGCAAUGUUGGGAUGAUAUGGUAGUAGUCCAGGUGAGAAGUGAAAUUGAUGAGGUAGAAUGCACAGAACUUGCGUGGAUGUCUCAUGGGUUUCUGGUUCAAGCAGUGGAAUUCACAGUUUAAAGCAAUGGAGAAAAUUGGAGGAAGAAGAGGUAAUUUCUUCCCAAUCUCCACCCCUUCUAUAGAUGAGUUAUACAUCGGAGACCACAGGUUUUUAGAAGAUGUAAUUCUUUACAAAGAGACAUUCAUUCUAGUAUUUCAAAUUGCUGCCUGCAUAAGUAGGAAGCUUCGGGCCCUGGGAAGGGGUUGUCAUUCCUCAGUCUCUGACACAGCCCAGUUACUUAUUUUUGGAGAAAAACACUGAAUAUGAUGAAUGAUUUUCUAAGCAGUCAGAAAGAUAAAUGCAGAGAUGGCUAGAAGGAAAAAGUAUCCAAUGUUCCAUGUGUGUACAUUCACCACAGCUGUGUUAAUUCUAGAUCAUAAACUCUGCCCAGCGCUAUAGCUUGAGAGUUAAAAAAAAAAAAAGAAUAAAAUAUUUUUAAAGGUACUCUGGGCAAAAGAGAACACAUUUAAAAAGAAAAACGUGAACAAAAAUUUAAGUUAAAAGAAUAAAAAAGGAACUAUAAGUAAAAAGAUUGAGGCAAGAAUUAUUCAGAAAUUAAAGUAAUAGAUUUGGUUAAAAAUAAAAAAGAUCAAAAGAGCUAUAACUAAAAAAUUAAAGUAACAGAUUAAGGUAGAAAAUUAUGGUAAAAUUUAGAAAAAGAUUAAAAGGAUAAAAUAUACAGUGUAAAGUCAAGAAUAGACCACGUGAAAAGUAAAAAUGCUAGACCCAUAAGAUUUAGAAAGGUAAAAUCACGACAAACCUAAAAUAAGCUGAAGGAUAAACAGAGAGAACAAAAAUAGAGAGGUGACAAAAGACUAAAGGAGGAAUUACAUACAAUCAAAAUGUUAAAACUUGCUAAAAUUUA